UACAGAGGUCCCAAGCGUUGUUCGGAUUCACUGGGCGUAAAGGGUGCGUAGGUGGUCGAGUAAGUCUGAUGUGAAAUCUUCGAGCUCAACCCGAAAAUGGCAUUGGAUACUAUUCGGCUGGAGGGUUGGAAGGGGGACUGGAAUUCUCGGUGUAGCAGUGAAAUGCGUAGAUAUCGAGAGGAACACCGGUGGCGAAGGCGAGUCCCUGGACAAUCCCUGACACUGAGACGCGAAAGCGUGGGGAGCAAACAGG
rnacentral:rRNA from 1 species